GACGAACGCUGGCGGCGUGCCUAAUACAUGCAAGUAGAACGCUGAAGGAGGAGCUUGCUUCUCCGGAUGAGUUGCGAACGGGUGAGUAACGCGUAGGUAACCUGCCUGGUAGCGGGGGAUAACUAUUGGAAACGAUAGCUAAUACCGCAUAAGAGUAGAUGUCGCAUGACAUUUGCUUAAAAGGUGCAACUGCGCCACUACCAGAUGGACCUGCGUUGUAUUAGCUAGUUGGUGAGGUAACGGCUCACCAAGGCAACGAUACAUAGCCGACCUGAGAGGGUGAUCGGCCACACUGGGACUGAGACACGGCCCAGACUCCUACGGGAGGCAGCAGUAGGGAAUCUUCGGCAAUGGACGGAAGUCUGACCGAGCAACGCCGCGUGAGUGAAGAAGGUUUUCGGAUCGUAAAGCUCUGUUGUAAGAGAAGAACGAGUGUGAGAGUGGAAAGUUCACACUGUGACGGUAUCUUACCAGAAAGGGACGGCUAACUACGUG
rnacentral:rRNA from 1 species